UACGGAGGGUGCAAGCGUUAUCCGGAAUCACUGGGCGUAAAGCGCACGUAGGCGGAUGUGUCAGUCAGGGGUGAAAUCCCGGAGCUCAACUUCGGAACUGCCUUUGAUACAGCACGUCUUGAGUCCGAUAGAGGUGGGUGGAAUUCCUAGUGUAGAGGUGAAAUUCGUAGAUAUUAGGAAGAACACCGGUGGCGAAGGCGGCCCACUGGAUCGGUACUGACGCUGAGGUGCGAAAGCGUGGGGAGCAAACAGG
rnacentral:rRNA from 1 species